AAUAUAAGUGAUACUGUGACCACAGAAGUGAUAUGUAAAUAAUUUUCAUUUCUUCAUGAUGCCAUUAUGUUACUGAAGAAGUGUGGAUAGUAAGUUUCUCAUGAUCGAGUCAUAGAAUAACUCUUUGUAAACAACAGAAUUAUAUGUACUUUUCGUAUAGGUGGAGUGGGAGUGUCUAGUUCUGUUAAUCUCAUGCAUCUUACUGUGCAUAUAUUUUGGGUGUUUUAGGACUCAUUGGUGUUUGAGGAUGUGGCUGUGAACUUCACCCUGGAGGAGUGAAGUUUACUGGAUUCUUCACAGAGGAAACUCUACAGAGAUGUGACGUUAGAAAACUUCAGGAAUUUGUAAUCAGUAGAAGCAAGACAGGAAGAUCAUGACAUUGGAGAUCAGUUAAAAAACCAGGGGAGAAAAUUAAGAAGUCCUAUGAUAGAGAGACUCUCUGAAAGGAAAGAUAUUCAUUCUUGGGGAGAAAAUGUGAAGCUUAUUCCAACUCUCACUGUGAAGAAGAAAACUGCUGGUUUUAAACCAUGGGAAUGCAGUGCAUGUGGAAAAUUCUUCUUGAGUCAUUCAUCCCUUAAUAGACACAUGUCAUGUCACAUUGAAUACAAAUCAAGAGAACAUCAAAUGUACCACAAGAAGGUAUAUAAAUGUAAAAAUUGUGGGCAGA